AUUGAACGCUGGCGGCAUGCCUUACACAUGCAAGUCGAACGGCAGCACGGGAGCAAUCCUGGUGGCGAGUGGCGAACGGGUGAGUAAUACAUCGGAACGUGCCCAGUAGUGGGGGAUAGCCCGGCGAAAGCCGGAUUAAUACCGCAUACGACCUGAGGGUGAAAGCGGGGGAUCGCAAGACCUCGCGCUAUUGGAGCGGCCGAUAUCGGAUUAGCUAGUUGGUGGGGUAAAGGCUCACCAAGGCAACGAUCCGUAGCUGGUCUGAGAGGACGACCAGCCACACUGGGACUGAGAAACGGCCCAGACUCCUACGGGAGGCAGCAGUGGGGAAUUUUGGACAAUGGGCGCAAGCAUGAUCCAGCCAUGCCGCGUGCGGGAAGAAGGCCUUCGGGUUGUAAACCGCUUUUGUCAGGGAAGAAACGCUCUGGGCUAAUACCCCGGGGUAAUGACGGUACCUGAAGAAUAAGCACCGGCUAACUACGUGCCAGCCGCCGCCGUAACAC
rnacentral:rRNA from 1 species